GCGUGUGCGCGUGCUGCAGCCUUGCUGUUGUAAAAGCAAGAAAACAGCGUCUGAUGCGCGACUGCUGACGUCACCGGGAAGCUCCAGUCGACGCAGUGCGCUUGCGCGGAGCAUUCGAUCACUGGUGUAGCUAGCAGCUAGGCUACGAAUCCAGCCGCCAUGGAGAGGAAAGUUCUGGCACUCCAGGCGAGGAAGAAGAGAGGCAAGGCGAAGAAGACCAGCAAAAAACAGCCAGCCAAUCCCAGGGCUCGACAGCCGACCCAGCACGAAGCUUCUCCUCAGGAACCCGAGGAGCCCGAGGAGAUUCUGGGCUCGGACGACGAAGAGCAGGAGGACCCCAACGACUACUGCAAAGGUGGCUACCACCAUGUUAAAGUUGGAGAUCUUUAUAACGGGAAAUAUCACGUAAUCCGAAAACUGGGCUGGGGGCAUUUCUCCACCGUGUGGCUGGCCUGGGACAUUCAGGUGAAGAGGUUCGUUGCAAUGAAGGUGGUGAAGAGUGCAGAGCACUACACGGAGACGGCAGUGGACGAGAUCAAACUCCUCAGAUCCGUGAGAAACUCUGAUCCCGAUGAUCCGAAGCGUGAGAUGGUGGUUCAGCUGCUGGACGACUUCAAGAUCUCCGGUGUCAAUGGCACUCACGUCUGCAUGGUGUUUGAGGUGCUGGGCCAUCACUUGUUAAAAUGGAUCAUCAAGUCUAACUAUCAAGGUCUGCCCCUGCCUUGUGUGAAGAGCAUCAUCAGACAGGUUCUCCAAGGCCUGGACUACUUGCACACAAAGUGUCAGAUCAUCCACACAGACGUGAAGCCGGAGAACAUCCUGAUGAGCGUGGACGAGCCGUACGUCCGGAGGCUGGCGGCUGAAGCCACGGAGUGGCAGCGGGCCGGAGCGCCUCCGCCUUCCGGUUCAGCAAUCAGCACAGCGCCGACUCCAAAACAGGCAGUAAAAAUGUCCAAGAACAAAAAGAAGAAGUUAAAAAAGAAGCAGAAGCGGCAGGCCGAGCUGCUGGAGAAGUGCAUCCUGGACUUGGAGGAGAUGGAAAAGACGACGGAGAAACAGGAGGAGGACGACGAGGACGAGGACCCGCAGUCUCCUAAAGCCCGAGCCUGCGCGCCGCUCAGACAGGUGUCUCUUCAGGAGCUGGGAAACGAGGAAGCAGAUGAGAGGGAGACGCCCGAGGAGCCGUCGGAGGUGAACUGCAACGGGCACCUGCAGGCGGAGCAGAGGCCGCCGCAGUGGCGGGACGAGGAUCAGCACAACGGCAACGCCGAGCCCACCAAGAAGAGCGCCGCCCCCGAGGACGAACACGAGGGACCCGCCGUCCACCCCAUGUGCAACGGCCUGGACUCCACGGCCUUCACCGAGCCGGACGCGGAGCCUGAAGGCAGGGGGGCCGACGAGAGGCUCCGGCUGCCGCGGCUCCAAGAGGGAGAGGUGGAACAGCGAGAGGAGGACCCCACCUGUCCCUACAGGGAAGAGGAGGGUCUGAGAGACGGUAAGCUGCCGGCAGGAUCCCUGCUCAUUAACCCUCUUGAGCCACUCAAUGCAGACAAGAUCAAGGUCAAGAUUGCAGAUUUGGGAAACGCCUGCUGGGUGCACAAGCACUUUACAGAAGACAUCCAGACCCGGCAGUAUCGGUCUUUAGAGGUUCUGAUCGGGGCUGGAUACAGCACGCCAGCUGAUAUAUGGAGCACAGCCUGCAUGGCCUUUGAGCUUGCCACAGGGGACUAUUUGUUUGAGCCACACUCUGGGGAGGAUUAUUCCAGGGAUGAAGACCAUCUUGCUCUCAUGAUUGAGUUGCUUGGUAAAGUCCCCCGUCACUUUGCCCUGAGUGGGAAAUACUCACAGGAAUACUUCACCAAGAGAGGUACGCCCCCCCUGUGUGUGCGGCUCGCUCUGGCACCGGGCGGUCAGGAGGGCGAGGCGGGCGCCCCCGCGCACGCCGGCCGCAGCCAGAUCUCACCGCGCUGAACACGGAUCAAUACUUUGAACCGAGCCGUCUGGCAUUGAUCGAAGCCUCAGUAGUUUUGCCAAAGCCCGCCUGGCUGAGACUCACACGGCAGCUCCUUAGCUUUAGCCAAAUGAGUUGGCUCCAUCGGAGAUGUUUUAUUGAUCUCUUGCCUCCACAGAGAGAGCGAGAGGUCGGCCACAGCCGCGUCUGAAUUUCACUGCGGACAGUUAACUUUAUUUAAAGAGAAUUAUUAAAACACAGAAAACGUCCAAGAGCUAUAGGCCCAUGAAAUAUAGAAUGCAUUAAAUUUUAGGGACGCAACGGACGAGUGCUAACAGAGCGUAAUUUACAGUCUGUUGUACUGAGGAGUCCCAUCUGCCUGUGAUGAACUGACCAGUCCAGACUCCAUUGUUUGUGUGACAGUGAAGAUGGAGCUGCAGGACAAGUCGGUGCUCAGGCCGAGCGGUCCGGAACAGCCUGACAGCUCUUUCAUUGUCUGACGGUUCAGUUCGAUAAGCGAGGUCUGAGUUGCGCCGCCGUCUCCUUCCGUCCUCCAGCCGCGCCCCCAGAGCGAGCCACUACCGGGACACUGUCUGAUGAAUCUGUUGUCUGUCUCGUUUGUUCUCUCCUCUCCCCCCACGCCCCCACCUGCUGCGUAGACCAUAUAGCGCUGAUCAUUGAGCUGCUGGGGAGUGUCCCACGCAAGCUCAUUUUGACCGGCAAAUAUUCCAAGGAUUUUUUCACCAAGAAAGGCGACCUGAAACACAUCACCAAGCUGAAGCCCUGGGGCCUC